rnacentral:tRNA from 1 species
GCCGGAGUAGCUCAGCUGGUCAGAGCACCGCUCUUGUAAAGCGGGGGCCAAGGGUUCGAAUCCCUUCUCCGGCU